AAAACACACAAGGAGCAGAGACUACAAAAUAAAACAGGAAACACUGAACAAACUUAUCAACGAGAACAAAAUACAAUAACCAAGACAGGGAUGAACACAGGAGAGGCACAGGGUGAAACAUAGCGAGGGACAAGGAGGGGAACACAGGAGAGGGACACAGAGAACAACACAGGAGAAUCACAGGGUGGAGCACAGAGGAAGGCAGAAGGGAACAUGAGAGGAACACAGGAGGGAACAU
rnacentral:misc_RNA from 1 species